CACUUCGGUCGCAGGGGCGGUCUUUCCCAAGGACCACCGAGGUGAAAUGACCCCACCAAGCCCCACCCCUCCCGCCCGCAGCGCAAACUCACUCCCGCGAGUGAAUAUGCCAACUUGAGUGGAUUUGGGGCGGGUUGCGUGCCCUACGCUCAGCGCAGCAUCACCAACACCCACAGCAGACAUGCGACGGCCCCCGCCGGGAGUGCAAUCCCAAUGCGAGGGCCUGACCACCGAGGAAGAAGAGAGCUUCCCG
rnacentral:ncRNA from 1 species